GCAUCAGAUAAUCAUAAAA
rnacentral:snRNA from 1 species